GCGCGAGUCAUGGGGUUCUACGAAACCUAAAGGCGCAAUGAAAGUGAAGGCUGCUUCCGGUGGCUGAGGUGAGAUCCUGGCCCGCGGGCUUGGCGCAUCACCGGCCCGUCUCGUCCGCAUUGUCGGUGAGGCGGAGCAAGAGCGUACACGUUGGGACCCGAAAGAUGGUGAACUAUGCCUGAGUAGGACGAAGCCAGAGGAAACUCUGGUGGAAGUCCGUAGCGAUUCUGACGUGC
rnacentral:rRNA from 1 species